rnacentral:rRNA from 1 species
CAGUCGCCGCGGGAACACGUAGGUGGCAAGCGUUGUCCGGAAUUAUUGGGUGUAAAGCGCGCGCAGGCGGAUCAGUUAGUCUGUCUUAAAAGUUCGGGGCUUAACCCCGUGAUGGGAUGGAAACUGCUGAUCUAGAGUAUCGGAGAGGAAAGUGGAAUUCCUAGUGUAGCGGUGAAAUGCGUAGAUAUUAGGAAGAACACCAGUGGCGAAGGCGACUUUCUGGACGAAAACUGACGCUGAGGCGCGAAAGCCAGGGGAGCGAACGGGAUUAGAGACCCCAGUAGUCCCUGUCUCUUAUACA